rnacentral:lncRNA from 1 species
UUUACCUUCGUACACACCAACAACCUCGUCCUCACCACCACUCUUCACGACUCUCCCUCUACAAACACACACAAUGCUGCCUCUACCACAAAUUUCACACGACCUCCAUCUUCCACCAUCCUCAUCCCUUUCUAAAAAACAAAGCAGUUACUCCCUCCAACUCACCACCCCUCAUCACUUUAAAACUCACAGAAAUCUCAACACCCUCCAUUUUUAACUUCCUCAUCAACUUUCAACCUCACCCACCAUCACUCAUUA